rnacentral:rRNA from 1 species
AUGGCGCUCACUCGCCUGAGUCGCCUCCUCCUCCUCCUCCUCUGCGCCGCAUUGCCAAUGCUCUUCUUCACGUGCGCAGAAGCGGGCGAGGUGGGCGUGAGCUACGGAAGGAUCGGGAACAACCUGAUGGACCCAGCGUCGGUGGUUCAGCUGCUGAAGAGCAACGGCAUCACGAUGGUGAGGGUGUACGACACCGACUCCACGGUGCUCACCGCAAUGAAGAACACCGGCAUCAAGUUGGUGGUGGCGGUGCCCAACGAGAACGUCGCCCUUGCGGCCGCGGAUCCCAACUGGGCCGUGCAGUGGGCUAAGAACAAUCUGAUGCCCUACUACCCCGCCACGGAUAUCCGCGGAGUAACGGUAGGGAAUGAGGUCUUCAACCAGGCCAAGGGACUUACGUCGCAGCUCCUCCCGGCCAUGAGGAACGUGCAGGCGGCGCUGGCUGGCCUGGGCCUCGCCGACGCCGUGAAGGUCACCACGCCGAUCGCGUUCAACGCGCUCAAGAAAUCGUUCCCGCCAUCCAAGAGCCUGUUCCAGGACGACAUCGCCCAGUCGGUGAUGAGUCCCAUGAUCGACUUCUUGGAGCAGACGGGCUCCUACCUCAUGGCCAACAUCUACCCGUACUACACGUACACGUCCCAAUCAGACACAAUCAACCUCAACUACGCGACCUUCCGCCCGAACGACGGCGUCGUCGACGAUGGGACCGGCGUCAGGUAUGACAACCUGUUUGACGCCCAGCUCGACGCCGUGUACUACGCGAUAGACAAUCUACGGGCCUCCUCCACCAAGCGCACCGUGGAGACCUUGCUCAGGGGAGCGCACCGCCGACAUGUGCCCGUGGUAACAGGGGAAUCCGGGUGGUGCUCCUACUGCCCACAGGCGGUGGGGGCCAGCAAGGAAAACGCCCAAGCGUACAACGCUAACCUCGUCAAGCACGUGCAAUCUGGCGGCGCCAGCACCACGUACAGCUCGCUCGCCGUCGGCGCUGCCGCCGCCGACAUCUCCGUGUACAUCUUCGCCCUUUUCAACGAGAACGACAAGCCCGCCGACGAGCAGAACUUCGGCCUGUUCUACCCGAGCGGGCAGCCGGUGUAUGCGGUCGACUUCAGGGCCGGCGGCAGCCCCAGCCCCGGUCCAACCAAAUCCAGCUGGUGCGUGGCGAACGCGGCCGUCGGGGACGCGCGCCUGCAGGCGGCGCUGGACUACGCGUGCGGCAACGGGGCCGACUGCGGUGCCAUCCAGCCGGGAAAGCCGUGCUACGAGCCCAACACCAAGGUUGCGCACGCGUCCUACGCCUUCAACGACUACUACCAGCGCAAGGGCCGCGCCAGUGGGACGUGCGACUUCAGCGGCGCUGCUUCUAUCGUCUACCAGCAACCUGCCGGCAUUUGCGACCCGAAGACGGCAGGCAGCUGGUGCGUAGCCAAUGCGGCGGUCGGGGACACACGACUCCAGACGGCACUAGACUACGCGUGUGGCCACGGCGCAGACUGCAGUGCUAUCCAGCGCGGCGCGCGUUGCUUCGAUCCCGACACCAAGGUCGCGCACGCGUCCUACGCCUUCAACGACUACUACCAGCACAACGGCCGCUCUGCCAAUUCCUGCAACUUUAACGGCGCUGGUUCCAUCGUCUACCAGCAACCAAAGAUAGGCAACUGCGUGCUACCGUCAACAGGCUGA